rnacentral:rRNA from 1 species
AUCAUUACUGAGAGAGGGGCCUCGCGCUCCCGGGGGCUUCGGCCCCCAACUCUUCACCCCUUGUGUACCGCUCCGCAUUGCUUUGGCGGGCCUUGGCCGCCCGUCAGAUGCGCUUCUAAAUCCUGUUUAUCAGUGCCGUCCGAGUAUCAAACAAAUAUAUAAAAACUUUCAACAACGGAUCUCUUGGUUCCAGCAUCGAUGAAGAACGCAGCGAAAUGCGAUAAGUAAUGUGAAUUGCAGAAUUCAGUGAAUCAUCGAAUCUUUGAACGCACAUUGCGCCCCUCGGUAUUCCGGGGGGCAUGCCUGUUCGAGCGUCAUUACACCCCUCAAGCGUAGCUUGGUAUUGGGCCCUCGCCCCCGCGGCGUGCCCGGAAAUCAGUGGCGGUCCGGCGUGACUUCGAGCGUAGUAAACUUAUCCCGCUCUGAAACCCGCGUCAGGUCGGCCAGAAACUUUAUAUGCUUCACUAAUUGAC